AUCAACUUUCGAUGGUAGGAUAGAGGCCUACUAUGGUGGUAACGGGUAACGGGGUGUUAGGGCACGACACUGGAGAGGGAGCCUGAGAAACGGCUACCACAUCCAAAGAAGGUAGCAGGCGCGCAAAUUACCCAAUCCCGACACGGGGAGGUAGUGACAAUAAAUAACAAUACAGGGUUCUUUAGGAUCUUGUAAUUGGAAUGAGUACAAUUUAAAUCUCUUAACGAGGAACAAUUGGAGGGCAAGUCUGGUGUCAGCAGCCACGAUAAUUCCAGCUCCAAUAGCGUAUAUUAAAGUUGUUGCAGUUAAAAAGCUCGUAGUUGAAUUUUGGGAUCAAUGGGUUGGUCAUGCCCUCGGUAUGUACUGAUUUCAUUAGUUCUCACCUUCCAAGGAACCAUGAUGUCAUUCGUUUGAUGUUGUGGGGAAUUAGGACUGUUACCUUGAAAAAAUUAGAGUGUUUAAAACAGGCUAACGCUUGAAUACAUUAGCAUGGAAUAAUGAAAUAGGACAUCCGAUUCUAUUUUGUUGGUUUCUAGGAUCGAUGUAAUGAUUAAUAGGGAUAGUUAGGGGCAUUAGUAUUCAAUUGUCAGAGGUGAAAUUCUUGGAUUUAUUGAAGACUAACUACUGCGAAAGCAUUUGCUAAGGAUGUUUUCAUUAAUCAAGAACGAAAGUUAGGGGAUCAAAGACGAUCAGAUACCAUCGUAAUCUUAACCAUAAACUAUGCCGACUAGGGAUCGGAUGAUGCUUAUUUUUUAAUGACUCAUUUGGCACCUUACGGGAAACCAAAGUGUUUGGGUUC
rnacentral:rRNA from 1 species